GGCGGCAUAACCAAGUGGUAAGGUAGAGGUCUGCAAAACCUUCAGCGCCGGUUCGAAUCCGGCUGUCGCCU
rnacentral:tRNA from 1 species